rnacentral:misc_RNA from 1 species
AACGCACAUUGCGCCCUUCGGUAUUCCGGAGGGCACACCUGUUCGAGAGCCAUUUCAAAUCUAAGGCUUUGCCUUGUGUUGGCGAUUCCCCUAGCGGGGAGUGCCUAAACUUUUGUGGCGUUACCCACGGUUUAGCGAAACAGCAGAAUGUGGAGCUGCCGGAGGUCGACUGCCAGUCUUCGAAAAGUUUGGCCUCGGAUCAGGUGGGGCUACCCGCUGAACUUAA